ACCCAGUUUAUUUUUCUUCUUUUUUUUUUUUUGGGGGAUCCCACCGCGUCUGGCCAGGCGCGGCCCUAUUAUACAGGAACGUAAGGCGGGAUGGAACUAAAAUGGACGUAGGGAAAUGUAACCUACGCCCCUUAUAAUAACGGCGAACGCAUGUUAACCGAGAUUUUAUUGGGUUAAAAAGUUGGCGUAGUACCAACACGAAAACCCCAUGGGAAAAUACUCGCUCACAACAAAAGCAUGCCCGCUAGAAAUCGCAUGUCUGGGGACCGGAAGCCGAGUCGAUAGGUCCGGGUAGGGGUGAAAUCCCCGUUCCUUGGUCGACCGCUCCCUUCGAGAGCACCUCCCGCAGACGGAUCCGACCUGAGGGACGAAAACCCACGUCUCCUUCCUCUUGUUUGUUCCCCGGGGUUCCGCCUUAAACCACACCCCGC
rnacentral:rRNA from 2 species